AUAUUUUCAAAUAAUUUUUUUCUAUAUUUUAAAAAUCAGAACGAAAUUUAAUUUGUACCGAUUAGAACGAAAUUCGUACCCCAAUAAUUAAAGCAGAUAUGCAAUUGUUAAUUAUUAUGUAUUUUGGAGUCAGUAAUUUUGUUAUUCUUGAGGUAUAAAUUUUGGGCUUGGUGGUACAAAUUAGCACAAAUUAUUCUGCGUCUGUAGCAAUUUAUUUUCCCCCCUAAGUCAUCUAGAAAAAAAAGUCGAUUUUUAACCCUUUCUGCACCCUUUAAUUGUGAGGUACAAAUUAAAUCAAUGGCAGUACAAAUUAGUACAAAUUCAAACGCUUUUAAUAAGUAUCCUAUAGAUAAUUUUUCUAGGACUGGUGCAGGCAUGCUUCACGCACCUACAGAAAAGCGGAAACAAUGUUGCAUUUUUUCAUUUUAUUUAUCAUUAUUUCUCACUUUAGUCCUUUUUGUUCCGUCAUUCGUAGACCUAUUUCCGAGAAAUUUUAUAGAAAUAAUAAUAACUCAAAUAGAAAAGUUUAGCAUUGAAAUCGUUGAUUCUUCUCGUGGAGGAAAAAUUAUUAGUUUAAUGUUUAAUAUUUGUAUCGAUUAAAUACUAAUUCAAGAAGUUGUACAUGCAGGCAGUGUUAGGUUCUUAAUGAAUGUAACAACUUCAAUAAGAUUUUAUAUAAUUAAAAAAAAAAAACCAUAUAACCAUUCAAUAAAAAAUUUUUUAUUUUAACUUAAGUAUUUUUUUCCAAAAACUAAUCAUAUCAGGUAAUAGAUUUAUUUUCCGAUUUUAAAUUUUUUUAUUUUAGCUAUUAUUAUUUUCUUGGAAAAAGUCGACGAAUGAUGGAACAAAAAGGACUGAGAUAAAAAAUUAUAAUAACUAAAAUAAAAAUAGUUAACAUUAGUAAUUAGGAAAAAUAUUGUAAUUAUUCAUGUAAUAUUUCAUUAGAAGUUUUUAUUUGUACCAACUUGUAUCACAAUUGUUUUUAUUAUGUACCUCAAAAAAAAGGGUUAAAAGUCUUUUUUUUUUAUGUAGUUGAUUCAGGCCCAUACCACGAAAAAAAUUAUAGAGAUUUAGAAUAAUUUGUACUAUGCUAGUUUGUAUCACCAAAAUAAAAAUUAUAUUCUGUUUUUUUUUCGUUCAUAUUUUAUGUUAAAUAACGCACCUACAAAAUAUAAUUAAUGCACUUGUGCCUAUACACACAUUAAUAUUAAAUUAGUUUAAGCGUGGUAAUAAUAUUAAAGAGAAAAAAAAUAUAGUAUAAAUAAUUUUAUCACUUUCAUUAAGUAUUUAAUUAUCUUGAAUAUAUAUUUGUAUAAAAUAAAAAAAUUGUAUUGUUGAACGUGUAUUUUAUUGAAGGAGUGGGAAAUCACUUGCGUGUAUGUGUGUGGCUGGACCGGUUUAGCGUUUAAAUGCAGUUGCGUUACCGGAUCAAAACUCAAAGCAUAACCACACUUGUCAAAAAAUAUAUUUAAUGUGAAUAUAAAUAAUGAAGAAAUUAAAUAAUUACAUAGUAAUCAAGAUAAAAAAGAAUCAUAUGUUUUAAUAAUUGUUAGAGCUAGUGGAUGAAAAUGCUCAUCGAGUUUUUAUUUUGCUAGAGCUGGAAGUUAGUAUUUGUAGUAUCUUCAUAGACGAUUGGUGUUUACAAUAAGUGAUAUUAAAAGUUUGAAAGUUAAUGCUGCAGCCAGGUAAAUUGUAUACCAAUUAAAUUCAACAAUCAAUAUUACCUAUAAUAAUAAAUUACAUUAAUAUUUCAGACAUAUCGCAAGUGUCCAAAUAUAAUACCAUACAAAAUUUAAUCAAACAGUAGGAAUGGUAUUGGACAUCAUUAAAUACUAUAAUGUUGUCUUGGAUGCAACAAACAAUGUUCUACCAAGAUAUUUAUAUGAAUGCUUGUGCUUUUUCUGGGAAAUUUUGAUACUAGUAACAUUAAAUAUGGAAGGACAAUCGGAUGUUUAGAAAAAUGAUGGACCAUGUUACAGAUUUAUUUAUUUGAAACAACCACCACUAGAAACUGUGACAAAUUGUGGUGACGGUGGAGUACUUGGUGCAGUUUUUGGAACAAUUAGAGUACAUAAGAGGAAGAUGCAAUCAACAUUUUUGAUAUGAAAUAAUUAUGGAAUAAAAAUUAACUGUAAAAUAACACAUGAUUUUAUACCAAAAAUAUUGGAGCUUGGUAAUAAACCAAAUGUAUAUCUAAUAUGUCGACAAGGAAAUAAUAAGUUUGACUAAACACAAGAUUUCCAUUGAUAUCAGUUGGUAAAUUGGUAUUACAUAGAAAUCUUAUUAUUUGGUUGAUCUGAAAUAAGUUGAUUUUUAUCUACCUCCUACAGUAUCAGGCAUUAGUCAAGUCCAGAAAAAAUACCUCAUGGACAUUAUUUACUCACAUAUUGUGAUAUAGAUCGUCAACGUUUUGGAGUGAAUCAUCGUGAACUUUCUGUUAAUAGUUCUCACUAAGUAUUUUAUUAUUAUCAAAUAUUUAUUUCCGUAACUUGUGAUGAUAAUGUGAAUAUAUUUUUUUUUUUUAGACAAUGUCAGUGAUAAAUGAUUUCUUGUGGCCAAUAAAAGUGUCAAUUUUCUGUCACAAUUUCUAAGUAAUUGACAAAUCAUUGAAAAAUGUAAGCAGUAAAUGUAAAGCUUUACAGCAUGUUGUAAAGCAUAUGCUUCAUAAUAUUACUCUCAAUUUUUCAAGAUAUUAAGUAUUAUUGAGUGAGAUAUUUUUUAGCUUAAAUAGUUAAAAAAGUUGAUAUUAUAUUUUAAUUUUUACUAAUGCAUCAAUUUUCAUGUCAAAGAGUCAAUGUUUUUAUAAUCUAUAAAUUGAAAUGUUAUAAAUUUGAAAUAUUAUAAAUGUAUUUAUACGAAAUUUUUAUGACGUUAAUAUGUAUUUAAUGAAAUAUUUAAUUGAUAAUUACAUUAAUGUUAGUCAUAACAUUAUUAUUGAAUUGUUAACUUAUUAUAUUUAAGAAAAAAAAAUCAAACUCUUGUAUAUAGAAGAUAAGACUUGUGAAAAAAUGUGAUCAGCAUAGCAAAUAUAUAAAUAAUUUAGUUAUAUAGUAAAAAUAUAUUAAAUUUUACAUAAAUAAACAAGCUCAUUUUUUUCCAUGACUUUUUUAAUAAUAAGUUGUUCCGUCGGAAAGAGAGGUAAGUGAGAAGAGAGAGAGCAAGAAAAAGAUAAAAUUUAUUUGAGAAAAAAUAAGUUGAAAAUGUAAAAUAAAAUAAAAAAUAAAACAUCCAACACAUGGAGCUAGCGUGUCUAAUCCUCUGACGGCACGAGCCGAUGCCGACUAAUCCCUCAAACUGACAACGUUUGCCAUUAGAAAAAUGUUGCAGUUUGAGGACAAUGAGGAUUAGGCCGCUGACCAUAGAAUGCAUGUAAAAACAUUUUGGAAGUUUUGUCGGGUCCAAGCGACGCUUGGUUAUACAAGCGUCGUUUGGCCUUCUAGAAUUUUCCAGAAUUUUCCUUACUAAGGCCCAGAAGCUGGUUAGCGUCCUGGACCUUUUUCUAGCAUCAGUUGCUUUUGCAAUCCCGUAGCCUACGGAACUCUCUCUUGUCACUUGCUCUUACAAAAAAAAUAACUUAAAUCAAUUCAAGUUAAUAAAUAAAUUUAAACUAAUUUGAUAACCAAUUUAAAUAAUAAUAUAAAUUUUAAAUAAUAAUUUUAAAUGAUGAUAAUUGAAAUUAAACGAAAACAAAGACAAAAAAUUAUUGUGUUGAUUAUUUAAAUAUAUAUCCUAAAUUAAAUACCAGAUAUAAAUCCCUUAACGGGCAAUAUAUCCAACAUAAGUUGACUACAAAUAUUGUUGAAAAAAUUAAAAUGAUUUUAUAAACUGUAUAUAUUUUUUAUGAGGAAUGAAAAAAAAAAAAAAA
rnacentral:lncRNA from 1 species